rnacentral:lncRNA from 1 species
GGCGGAUCCAGAGCCUGAGCCUGAGAGGGGCACUUGUAGAUUAUUUAAAGACAUAUUCCAUGCACAAUAACCACUACUCCUCUGUGUAGUGGUUAUGGUGCCAGGAGCAUCGGCAUCCCUCCCAGAGUAAGUCGUCAAACCGUUUAAGAACAGUUUGACAACUUACCUGGAGUCUGCUGGGAUAUGGGGAUGUAGUAGGGUAUAGGACCAGUGGUGCAAUGUGUGUGAAAGGUUC